rnacentral:rRNA from 1 species
UACGGGGGGGGCAAGCGUUGUUCGGAAUUACUGGGCGUAAAGGGCUCGUAGGCGGCCAACUAAGUCAGACGUGAAAUCCCUCGGCUUAACCGGGGAACUGCGUCUGAUACUGGAUGGCUUGAGAUUGGGAGAGGGAUGCGGAAUUCCAGGUGUAGCGGUGAAAUGCGUAGAGAUCCGGAAGAACACCGGUGGCGAAGGCGGCCUGCUGGGCAGUUGCUGACACUGAGGCGCGACAGCGUGGGGAGCAAACAGG